AGCCCCACAGAAGAGUACACUGCAAGAGCUGCCUCAACUCACUACCAUUAUCCUGUAGAUUCAGUUGCGCUAUGAGAUUUGUGUGAGAAGAGGAGGAUAAAGGACUGAGCCACUGUGUUAGUGUCUCAGGAAGGGACCAGAGAUUUCCCCAAUAUACCCAGCAAAGGCUAAAGAGGUCUUCCUGAGGCUGCCACAGCUGUGCCUACGGGAUGCUCAGGAGGAAGAACUGGCACUGACUGAAUAGGACAUUUUCAGCAGAGACUCAGAAAGGACGAGGUGGAGAGAUGAGAUGCAUUUCAUUUGCUGUGCUUCCCGCUAAUGUGACCGAGCACCAGCACCUCCUUGGAGAGGUUUCUCUGACUCUGAGGAGAGCACCGUUCAGAGGGAGAGCCAUGAGCACCAGAGAGCCAGAGAAGCUUUCCUUAUCAAAAGAGUUAUUUCCAGCCCACAAAGAGGAGUAUUUUCUGCUGUAGCAUAUCCCAGUGAGCUCACAGUGCUUUCUGAAAUCUGUUUUUCUGGGUAGAGUCCUGUGGGAAGAAUAUGCAAGUUUAUCUGCCUGAGCUCUGCUGUUUUAUUACAGCUCAGUCAAAACGCCGAGGUGCCAAUUCUCUUCUUUUGCUAAUUGUUAAAGGAAAUGUCUUAAUUGUGUAGAAGAAUGUGCAAGUGUAACAUAUGACUUAUUAUUGAGAACCCUUUUUUUUUUUAUGCACUCUAAAACUCCAUCUGUCCUGUCAUCUGGAGUUGGCUACUUCUCUUGUAACACACAAAUGCAGAUCAAGAAUAAUAAGUUUUAAAUAUCCAGUGCAUUAAUCAAAGCAGGGUCUGAUUUUGUUUGACAGAAAGGAUUGGAAUAGCAGUCUCUGUGCUCUGGACAUCAAUGAGGAGAGUACACAGGAGUUUCUGAUCCUGACGUCAAGUAAUUUAACCCCACAACUUGUGAUGCUCUGGGGCCAUAUCUUACAGGUUGAGGGAUUUUUAUUCCCUCUGGGGAGAAAAUGGCGUGUUGUUCCCUAUCUACUGUUGAUAACGAGGGGGUGUUAACUCAUAAAGCCACUCCUUCGCAGAAGUUGUUGUCAGCAUCUUGAGAUCUAUAACCUCCCUUAUGGCAUAUCACACAGAUGCAGCCUGACCUGUCUUGUGGUCACCAACCAGCCAUGCACGGGGCUCACGUCUGCACUCUGUGCUUCACACAGCCUCAGUGUGGCUGAGGCCUCACGUGCUGCUGUAGGAGAUAACACGUCUCUGUUACUCUUAAUUACUUCCAACACUGUAUUUUUAGCAAUGCAAAUUCUUUUAUUGCAUGCAGGUUUCGAUCAGUCGUUAAGGGUUAGGAUGACUUAGAUAAGUGAAGGAGCAAAGUGUGCACUGGGUAAUUAAGGCUUGGACUCAGCAAAAGCAAGCAACUUCACAUAUUUCUAGUUGAAGUUAAGGCCUGAGCUUAUCCUUAAAUAAACUGAACAGUUGCAUUCUCA
rnacentral:lncRNA from 1 species